rnacentral:rRNA from 1 species
UAACGAAUAUUGGGCAAUGGGCGAAAGCCUGACCCAGCAAUGCCGCGUGCAGGACGAAGUCCUUCGGGAUGUAAACUGCUGUCAGGGGUCCGCAAGCGAAGGGGUCCAACAGGCCCUGGAGUUGAGCAGCCCCAGAGGAAGCCUCGACUAACUCUGUGCCAGCAGUCGCGGUAAGACAGAGGAGGCAAGCGUUGUUCGGAAUUACUGGGCGUAAAGGGCAUGUAGGCGGUUUAGUAAGCUUGGCGUGAAAGACCACAGCUCAACUGCGGGGUUGCGUUGAGAACUGCUGAACUUGAGUUACGGAGAGGGAGCUAGAAUUCCUGGUGUAGAGGUGAAAUUCGUAGAUAUCAGGAGGAACACCGGUGGCGAAGGCGACUUCCUGGCCCUAUACUGACGCUGAGACGCGAGAGCGUGGGUAGCAAACA